rnacentral:lncRNA from 1 species
GGGUUAGCAUUUAUUAGCUGUCACUAUUCUAUAGAUUUACAACUAUUGGUCAUAAUGAUAAUUUAGAAUCGUCAUUGAAGGUGGAGCACGAAUUCGUGUUUAAUAAUUAUUUUGAUGUAUCAUUUGUAUGCAAUUGUCGCAUUCCUUUGUACUAUGUUAAAUUCCAAAAAAGUCAAUGUUGAUUGUCUACCUUGAAUUGGUCAUAAUUCAAUCUUUACCUCUAGUUAUUUUAUUGAGCUUAAAAUUGCUCCAAAAUUUAUUAAUGUACUAGAUCUUAGUAUUCUUUAUUGGUUUAUUAAA